rnacentral:rRNA from 1 species
GACGGAAGGUGCAAGCGUUGCUCGGAAUCACUGGGCGUAAAGGGUGCGUAGGCGGCUUCUCAAGUCAGGGGUGAAACCCUGGAGCUCAACUCCAGAACUGCCUUUGAUACUGAGGGGCUCGAGUCCGGGAGAGGUGAGUGGAACUGCGAGUGUAGAGGUGAAAUUCGUAGAUAUUCGCAAGAACACCAGUGGCGAAGGCGGCUCACUGGCCCGGUACUGACGCUGAGGUGCGAAAGCGUGGGGAGCAAACAGG